UACGGAGGGUGCGAGCGUUGUCCGGAAUUACUGGGCGUAAAGGGCGCGUAGGCGGCGACUCAAGUUAGAUGUGAAAGUCCUGGGCUUAACCUGGGAACUGCAUCUGUGACUGCAUCGCUGGAGUGCGGCAGAGGGGGAUGGAAUUCCGCGUGUAGCAGUGAAAUGCGUAGAUAUGCGGAGGAACACCGAUGGCGAAGGCAAUCCCCUGGGCCUGCACUGACGCUCAUGCACGAAAGCGUGGGGAGCAAACAGG
rnacentral:rRNA from 1 species